GCAUGGCUUCACCUCCUUUAUAAAGACGGGCACUUCACAGCUGGUAGGCACAGAGAAUCAGAUCACCUGUAUCUCUUCUGUAUCUCUACCUCUCCUGUAUCUUUGCUCUCUCUUCCAGUCUUUGGCUGCAACUAUCAAUCUGUGUGCAGGAUGACGUUUGUCAUGAUCUUUCUUGUGUUGACACUGGUCGUCUUCAUGGCUGAAACUGGGGAGUGCCGCUGUUUUAUUGGACGAGCAUUGGCAGAUAUGAGAGCCAAGCGUGAUGCUGACACAUCAGGAGGGGAUGGGAAGCCAACAGAUUCCGACUUGAGAAAAAUUCGGAGAAGAACGGGGUGCAACUUUGGUUAGAGGUCUCACCAAGACGCAGUCUCUCAGCUGUAUGAUUUGGGGGGAAUUGCAUUGCCCCUUACGUUUGCUUUGUGCUUUGUAAUGCAGGAAAUACGUGGAUAAACAAACAAACAGACCAGUGAUCUCAGCUCUAACUGGUUUUGGAAAAAUGUCAAAUUGCUUGAUAUUGCAAAAUGCCCUGAUGAAUAAAACUGCAUAAUAAAAAGUCAAA